rnacentral:lncRNA from 1 species
GGAAGGUCAAGGUCAUUUGGAGGGCCGGGCGGAAGAGGAACAGAUGACGAAGGAACUGGUGCAGGAGACGUAUCAUUUGUCUCUCGCCUACGCGAGUAAACUUGAACAAUUUGUGGUCUUGCCAACACAAUUGAAGUAGGUGUUGAAGGCACAAUAGUCGAUUGGUGCUCGAUAGAAGAGCUAGAAAAUGAAGGAAAAUCAUCUGCUUGUUCUGUCAAAGUACAGGUUACCUGAUAUA